rnacentral:rRNA from 1 species
ACAAGCGGUGGAGCAUGUGGUUUAAUCGAAGCAACGCGAAGAACCUUUACCAGGUCUUGACAUCCCGAUGCUAUUUCUAGAGAUAGAAAGUUACUUCGGUACAUCGGUGACAGGUGGUGCAUGGUUGUCGUCAGCUCGUGUCGUGAGAUGUUGGGUUAAGUCCCGCAACGAGCGCAACCCCUAUUGUUAGUUGCCAUCAUUCAGUUGGGCACUCUAGCGAGACUGCCGGUAAUAAACCGGAGGAAGGUGGGAUGACGUCAAAUCAUCAUGCCCCUUAUGACCUGGGCUACACACGUGCUACAAUGGUUGGUACAACGAGUUGCGAGUCGGUGACGGCGAGCUAAUCUCUUAAAGCCAAUCUCAGUUCGGAUUGUAGGCUGCAACUCGCCUACAUGAAGUCGGAAUCGCUAGUAAUCGCGGAUCAGCACGCCGCGGUCGAAUACGUUCCCGGGCCUU